GUCAGUGAGAAGCAAACACAGCUUUGUUUCAGCUGUACAUGUUGCCAACCAGCCUGGCUGGAGCAAGAGUUUCAGAGUGGUCAUCAUCCAGCACAACUUAGUUGUCCUAGAGUUGUUCAGAAAAACAUCUACAGUUCCCAGGCAACUGAGCAAACUCCAUCUGCUGAUGCAGGCCGUGUGAUAUUGUAAAAAUCUCCAGAAUGACAAUUUACAAAUUUCCACGGCAAAUAGCAUCAAACUUUCCUAAACGGCUGUGGCUGGAAAUGGCAAUGGAAGACAUCAUGGACAUGGAAAAACAUGCAAAGCAACAAAAUGAAUUUUAUUCAUCAUAUAGCCUAGUGUUUUACAGAAAAUAUUCAAAUGUAACCCCCAAUGUAAUCGUGAGCAUUUUCAUAAGUAACUGUAAUUUAAUUGCACAAUCUUCCCUAGUUACUGUAAUGUAUAACAGUUACAUUUAUUUUGUAAUCUAAUUCAAGAAUACGUUCUUUUAUUCAUUUCUAUCUGUGGGAUGGUUCUUGUUUUGUCAGAGGGGUUGUUGUUUGGGAUGCUUUAACUGUGCUCCCCCUCAUGAUGGGCGUCUGGGCACAUGAAGAGCUGUUUUCUUUACUCUGCUUUGAGCUGGACUGGUACAGUGCAUAGCCAUCGUCUCCACUUCUCACAGAAGUAGGUUUUAUGUUUUUUAUGUUGGUGAAUAUCAGGUGUUGUACUGUCUGUGCCAUCUGUGUGCAUAGAUUGUAUUGUGAUGCACUAUUGCUACGCCUGGCUACAAUCAUCACUGCUGUGACCACUAGAAAGUGUAGUUGUGACACCCCUUUAAAAAUGCGCUUCAGUUCACCAUCUCUCUGAAGAAGGUAAUAAUUUCACUCUAACUGCAUGUGGCUAUCAGCGUUGGUGUUUGUAAAUUGGACUUUUUUCCAAUGAGGCUCAGUUGCAUGGAAAGAGCCCAAUUUUGUGCUAAAUGUAAAUGUAAAUAUGUGCAAAUAGCAUAAAAAUCCCCUUUCCAAUGCCUGGGGGGGUGUUGUGUUCGACACAGGUUCAAACACACUGAUUCAUUUGCCUGUUUGGUUCAGCUUGUUAAGGCUGUUGUGGAUUAAAUUGGAAAAUACAUAAAUUGUUUUUCCCUGUGUGGGUCCAGGUAGAGAUAAUGAUGCCGAGUGACAGUCACCAAAACAAUCACU